ACAACUUUAAAGUCCCCAAUUCCCAUUUUCUCUGGUUUCUCGCCCCCAUAAUUGUCGAGUUCUAGCUGAAACAAGCCGUCCAUCCUAUACAAACCCUUUACAGAUCCAGUGUCUCUCCUACAUUCCACUGCACCAAAUCUUCAGGUAGUACUUCAUUCUCACCCACCAAUUUCAAGCCAAUCAAAUCAUUAUUCUACAUUCCUAAGUGCCAAACAUCAAAUUUAUACCCAGUUUUCGCGUAAGCUAUUCUCACAUGUUAUCAAAGCCAGAACCAGGACUUUGCAUAUUAAAGCAAUUUUGACACCGAUGAUGGUGGUGAUUACGAGGAUGAGGAUGAGGAUGAAAGUGGGUUUUUGAGAGGUGAAGGGUUUAUAGGGAGAGAAGAGAAUAAGAAGGAUUAUGAUAGAGACCAUAAAUUUGCUGAGAUUCUUGGGAGUUUUCUUGAUGACCCUGACAAAGCUAAGUCCAAAGUGAAACUCUACGAAUAAAAAGGAAUGGAAGGAAAGAAGCAAAAAGGGCGGAAAUAGCAAAAUCCAAAGUAUGUGGAUUAAAUUGGCCAUUUGAUGCAAUUUUUGGGAAUCAAAGUAACUAUAAAAAUGGAAGGACUGAUUUGCUUCGCUUUGAAGAUUGAGUACUUGGAGAGAAAUAAUUGAUUAAUGGGCCUCAAUUGGAUAUGCCUUGGAAUUCAACUUGAAUACUUAAUUGGACUUCCAAUAGGGUUACAACUAAAGGGGCUGCAUGGGCCGAAUUUGGGUUUCUUUUUGGUCAAAUUGGUUGGCUAAUUUCAAGUAUAUUAUACAUGCACUUAUCGAAAGAAAAAGGAGGAAGAGAAGAGAAAACCUAGAAAAAAAUAAGGGCUGAAUUCAUAGAUCUUCUUGGAGAGAAACGGCAGCUGGAGGAAAUCAAGGGGCUGCCUAAGCUGAUUUUCAGAAAUAUAUCCCACGCACAAUUGGGCAGCAAAUUGGGGGUCAACAUCUACACAUACGAGCUGCUGAAUUUGGAAAAAAAAUAAUCUUCUUGGUGAAAUUAAAAAGGAGCAGCUAGGAGAUUCUUGGGAAUUAUUUUGGUGAGAUAAAUUAACCGGCUGCUUACUUAGAGAUUAUAUACAAACAUAGGCAGAUUUUUGGGGAAGAGACUGCACGCCAACUUGGAGGGAAGAGAUACAGGAGCACACCAAAAUUGGGGGAGAGUAAAAAGGAAUCUUGGGAGUCAAACAAUGGGCUGCGUGUUCUAUACAAAUAUUUACACAAACAUUGGCAAAACAUUGGAGGAAAGAAAUUGAGUGCCAACUGGGAAUUACAAACACGUUGCCGGCGGUAAUUGGAGAUACAUAUAACUUAUGGCAGCAAAGUGAUAUAUACACUCAUAUAGGAGCCGAAAAAAGGGAAAAUUCACGUAAACACGCAGAAGCCGAAAGGGAUUAAUCGCAUUCCUUUAAUUUUUGGUGAUUUCCUUCCUCUUUUAUAUGUUUAAUUCCAACAUUAUGCUAGGCUAAGGUUUUUCAUGUAUUGGAUGGAUGACAAAAUUGUUUAAUUUUUUAGUUUUAAUUCGAGACCUAUGUUUUUAUGUUAAUUAUUGCGUUGUGAUUCCAUUAAUAUGUAUAAUUAGAUUGUUUUAAUGUGUGCGCACCAUUAGAAUAAUAUGUUGCUUUUUCGUAGUGAUGGAAAAUUCACGAUAGGUAGAACACUAUUAUUGGGACAUACGGGUAAUAAAUAUUGGGAAUAAUAUUUGUGGCAUGUGCGAUCUUAUGUGAUAAUCCUAAAUGUCAAUGCAUGGUUGUCAUAUGAAGUCGGACUAGGAAGAGGAUCGUCUCGUGGUAAUAAUAGGUUUAUUAUAUCUUGGAAAAGAAUAAUAAAUACUAGUGGAAUUAUCGAUCGUCGCAAUCGCAUUAAUUGAAAUAAUUAUUACUGGUUGAGAAUUAGAACUAAGAAUUGAUCAGUGGCGUCGGAAAUCCAAUACGUUCGCACAUUUGAUUUUUAAACCAAUUUUCAUUGAUUUAACAAGUUUUAGUUAUAAAAAUUAGUUAACUAUUCAUUCGAUCAUCUUUUGAUUACAAACUCGAAUUUAAAUAUAUCCAAUAUACUGAAAUUGAUUCUUAUUCCCUGUGAGACGAUAACUUUCUCAUCACGAUUAUUACUUGUACAACGAACCCGUACGCUUGCAGGAUUUUCACAAACACUUUUCAUUUUAUAAUCCUACAGGAGCUCUUUCUCCGUUGACCUUGGUAAGUAAAAAACAUAGAAGGGGGAAUUUCUGAAAUAGAUUACAAAUCUUUAUUCCUAGCAUCUCUUCUGCACGUCCAUGGAGUUUUGAAGAAUCCAACAUUAAGCAGUAAAAGCUAACCGCAUUUCAGAUUGAUGUGCUUUCUUAUUUAAAAUAAAAUAAAAUUAUGCAGCACUUAUGUGACUCUUGACACUUGUUCUUUUCAUAAUUCGAUGAUGGCAUUUGUUUGCUAUUGAUGCGACAGAUGGAAGAGAGAUUGAGAAGGAAAAGGAGCUAGAUACUGCAUACUAAAGCUGGUUCAGCGACACCCAAGAAAGUGAUGUUCAAUAACCAAUUUGAUCGUGGCACAUUGUUGGAAGUCUCGGUGGAUGCAAUUCUAUGAAUAUGCAAUUGUCACAAUGUCCGUUGGACCAAAGAUCGAGUUAUGAUGCUAUUCAGGUAGCAAAUGUUAACCUGACAACAUUUUAUGACAUUGGGGACCUCCAGAUUCAAGAUAACAACUUAGCCAGAAUAUGGCAAGUGGUUCAAAAUGUUUCCGAGUUUUUUCUACUAGAUAUGUGAAUCAAUGCGAUUGGGACUCAUAUUGAUAGGGUGGAUAUCGGCACUAGUGAACCAUUGCUCUUGGAUAUUUUAAUCAAUGCAUUGACACAAAUAAGCUCCAAGUAAGAUUUUGAGUGUGUUUGGCAAAAAAAAAGUAGCUUUCUUAUAAGCUGGGGGACCCAAAGUUUUGUGUCCACGCAAUUUGUGGGUCCUUGAACUUAUAAGAUAUCUACUUUUUAUCACUUUUUUUUCAAUGUUAUCUUCUAUAAUCCUUUCGACUUGUAAUGAACGGCUAUUCUGGAAUCAAACAAGUGGUGUUUGGUAGAUCUGAAUUCAAGAACUGGAGGAGAGCUUAAAAUGCUGCUUACAACAUUCACAAGAUUUAGGAUCUUAUUGGUUUUUUUUUGCUUCAAUGUAAUAGUAAAUGGGUUAUUCCCCUUUACUCCCAGCAUUUCCCAGGCCUAUGUGGCUCUGGUAAUGUAGCACGGUUCAUAGUAAAUAUCGUAUCUUAAUUGAAGUAAUGCGGUGGUAUUCAUAGUUGAAAAUAUCAUUGAGCUAGUUAUAGAAAAGUGAUUGCC